GAUUCAAGGGCCUGUUGAAAAUGGUAUUACUGGUAUAGAAAACCCUGGAUAUUUGCAGCAGCCUCUAGUUUAUACCGAUGCAAUCAGUCCAAACCCGAGACCAUCAUCGGUACUUCCAUCAAACGAGCAAAUGACCAAAGCACCGUACUAUGCAGAACAGUAUAAUCCGGGGGCAUCGCGUUAUUAGUGUAUUUAAGUUUAAUGAUACGAGCGUUAUUGCUUGUUUUAAAUACUUACCAUUUACUCUUAUUCAAAAGAUAUUGCUUAUACCAAAUGUAUUGUUAUAAAAGACAUCAUUAAUAAUUGUAGUUUAUACCGUAUAGCGGGUUAUUUUCGCCGGUCUAAAAUUUCGCGAUAUUCAUUGAAUAAGGUAUAUGAAACAUUUUGGUGGUUAUUAUUUUGGCGGAUUAAAAACUUUAAUCGAUACCUUUGCAUGUACACUUUAAUUUGGCGAUUUUGUUCUAUCCGAAAAAAAUCAGCGACAAUUUACACUCCGCGAAAAUAACCCGCUAUACGGUAUGCAAUUAUCAUUAAACAAAGUCAAAAGAAUCUACAUGUGAUAUGUUUUUAUAUUAAUGUAAUAAGGGAAUAAGAUGCAUAUAGAUUUACCAAUAUUUUUAUAAAACAUCAUUAUUUUGUAUUCAUCUGUAGGGUUUCAAUGCACAUAUGUUGCAUACAAAAUUGACAGAAAAAAAUAAGUUUACAAAUAGAAAUACUUAUUUCGAAAAUUAUAAAAAGAAUACAUACUGUUCUGCUUGAAUUGAUAUUUUGAUAUUUAAAUGUCGUGUACAUGUAAUUAUUUAGUUCGGGUUAUUACUUGUACAAACACUUUGUACAAAUUAUUAAUUGCAUGGUUCCAUCAUAAAAUUUAUUACUUGUACAAAUAAAUUGUACAAGAAAUUACUUGUACAAUGUUUGUAAAGAAAAAGAUAGUUACUUAUACAACUCACUAUCUUUGAGAUUCAUAAAAUAAACCAAAUCUUAAUGACAAUGAUACAUAUUUAUUAAUAAUGGAAUACUAACAUUUACUGACAUGCCAGCUACAAACCUCAAUUAAACUGAUAAAAAAUAAUGUCCUCUUCAAAUGAAAAUCAAGCACAAUCCCUCCCGUUAGGGGUUUAGUAUGAUGCUAUCCUAAAAUACAUGAGAAGACAUGACCCGUGUCAUGCUAGCAACUGGUUUAAGAAUGAAUGUGUUUAUUUCUGCUGCACGUGAAUCAAUUUUAAAACCACAAUAUGCCAUUCUUAAUGACCUGAAAAUAGUAUCGUAACCUCCGUAAUUACAUAAGCUGUAAAUUACCUUCCAUUAUCACUUUGCAGUAUAUGUGGAAUUCCCAAAAGUAAGAAAAAAAUUAAGUGAGUUGGUAAAUCAGUUCAGCAGCUCUUUUUAUCUUUAGAGUACAGUACACGUAAUUGGUAAAGUGAUCCUGGUAGUGCAUGAUCUACUUAUAUUCUCCAUCUGU
rnacentral:lncRNA from 1 species